GAUCAUGGCUCAGGAUGAACGCUAGCUACAGGCUUAACACAUGCAAGUCGAGGGGCAGCAUCAUCAAAGCUUGCUUUGAUGGAUGGCGACCGGCGCACGGGUGAGUAACACGUAUCCAACCUGCCGACAACACUGGGAUAGCCUUUCGAAAGAAAGAUUAAUACCGGAUGGUAUAGUUUUCCCGCAUGGGAUGAUUAUUAAAGAAUUUCGGUUGUCGAUGGGGAUGCGUUCCA
rnacentral:rRNA from 1 species